rnacentral:lncRNA from 1 species
GGGAUAUGUAUAGUUGUUUUGUUUAUUUUUGCCUUUUGGCACUUUUUCUUCAAAUUUAAAAGUUUGCACCAAAUAUAUGUACAAAAGCUCCAUAAACUGAGAGACAUUUUUUGUUUACUUCGAAAUUCUGGAAUGAUUUGGUCAUUUUUGAUGAAGUUGAACUGUUUUCGUGAAAUGUAGGACUGUGAAUAUCUUUCCCACUGUCUUGGACAAUAAACACAUGUGCAGUACUUUGCUAGCAGUCUCAGUCUCUCAGAUGAUUUGGAUGGCAAUUUCUCUUGGUUACCAUCAUUGAUAGCUAUAGAAUUUUAACUUGCUUUUUGGUUGCAAUACAAUUGCAUCAAUGUCAGCAAAAUCUCGGCAAAUGGAGAGUCAAUUGGGUUCGUUGUUGCGUGAGGAAAACAUAGUUGAAUCCAGGUGAGAUUUUGCUGUAUCUUCAUACAUAUAUCUUGGUUGAACUCAAAUGUUGGGUUUGGUGGAUAAUCCAAGUGAGCAUACAUAUGCACAAUUUAAGUAUGAAUAUAUAUGCUCAUUCGGAUUAUCCACCAACCCAGCAUUCAUGUUCAACCAAGUGAAGUGCAAAUAACAUCUUUCAAGUUCACCUUGACACAACCCGCACACUUGAAAAUCUAUAUAUACAUGAACUUGUGGUCCAGACUGCAAAGUUUCUUUUAUGUGCCGGGAACCCAAAAUUUUGUCGAACGUUUUGUGCGGUGUGCCAGCGUGGUACAAAAGUUUUGCGCGUCGUGCUGGCGUGGUACACACAUCAUAACACACAGGAAAAGCGAUAAUUUAAUGUAAAUUUUGUAAACAAGAAAUAUAAAUACUAAAUAAGCCCGCUUUUUACAAAUUAUGAACAUGUUCCCCGCACAGGCCAAAGUUUGCAGUCUGGCUUGCGGUUACAGCUCAACAACUGGCCGCUAUAGCUCAGUUGGUAAGAGCACUGCACCGGAAUCACAGGACCACAGGUUCAAUUCCUGCCAGAGGAGGUGGUGCCAGUGUGGAAAGUUUGUAUCACGUGGCAGAGAUAUUGGCCGCCAAAUUUUGAUGCUUUCUAUAUACUGUAUUUACUAUAAUUAAAUCUCCGCCACACAAUUUCCACAUUUUCCAGUCAGGACCUGGUGUUGCAUUUUUUGCAACCAUUCCUGGAUACGUCUUAAAUUGUGUAAAUACUGAAUAUGCUCACUUGGAUUAUCCACCAAACCCAGCAUUUGUAUCUUCAUAAGAUUUUGACAAGAUUUUGUCAGAUUCCCAAGAUCCCAGCAAGAUCUUGCCAAGAUCCUGCAAGAUGAUGUGAUUCAGCACGAUUAUGGCAAUUGGGUUAAUAAGAUAUCAUAUAGUAUGAUCAUGUCAAUAACAUGGCAAGAUCUUAUCAAGCUCUUGCAUAAAUCCUGCAAGAUUAUCAUCAACAACAAGUACUGUACAGUACAUAAUCAUUGGCAUAGCAAGUGUAAUAUAUCUGUGACGGCAAUGCAAAUUUCAAGUCAUCAAUUACCAUUAUUCAAUUCUUUUCAAUUUAUCGUCUUUACAGUCUAUGAACACGACAAAAUUUGCAUUGCUGCCCCUGGUAUAUUGCCCUGGCUACGCCAGUGUAUGUCGUACUGUAAGUUGCAAUAAUUUAUGCUACAGUAUUUGAACUCAUAUUCAAUUCAUAGUUCAGUAUUUGAACUACUAUUCAAUUUUUCAGACCUAUUACUCCACCAUGCAGAAAUGUUGUUGGAGGGGUAGGUAUUGAUUGAUAUAUAUAUAUUAUUUAUGUACACAGUAUUCUCAGAUACAAUAAAUUAAUAUACUCAAUUAUUUAAUAUGGGGUAUGUCUCUGCAACAGGUUACUCUGAGUGCUACGUGCAUGGCAUUGCCCUAAUUACUAGGUACAUAUGUAGUUAUGUUACUGAUUUUAAAAUGGUAUUCUAUCAAACCUGAAAGCCUAGCUGUAGCAUAAUAUCAGAUAUACUGAGUAAGUUUUUUUAAAAGUUUAACCCUUUUAAGUGGCAAUGUGCCCUACCUUAUUAUUUUACUGUCUAAUGCCAGACGAUUUUGUUCAUCAUGGGGAGAGUGCAUGUGCUGCCACUCAAUGGGUCAGGGGUGUAUAUAAUUACCAUUUGUGCCCCCCUCUGGGGGGGGUGUCAGGGCCAUGGGGAAG